AUCAUUACCCAAAUUCUGAUCCGAUUGUCUAUAUUGUUGAUAAAUUCUUAGUCCAUAAAUUCCAAAUCAACCAAGUUCUUAUUCAAGAGUUCAAAUAGGGAACUCACAUUGAAAAAACAGUGUGGUUAUGGAAGUAUACACUCCUACAUCGCCUUAGAAUCCUGUGGAACUAAAGAAGAUUCAAUCUUAAUAGAGUUUACAUGUAUAUCGUAAUUUUUUAAAACUUAAGGUUUUGUCCGUUGGGUUGGCCUAGUCGUUAUUAGACCCUAUCGAUCCUAUAAUAGCUCAGACAACGUUUUGUAAGG
rnacentral:lncRNA from 1 species